UUCCGAUAACAAUCCCGACCUGCUAUUGGUUUCAACUUUUUUUCCCUCGCAAAAUUUCCAACUCGUGUUAGCCACCUUUCUUCCCUCCAGAAUCUUGAUACCAAAUUCCUCACCAUCCAGUUUUCUGCAAAUUAAUUUUCUUGAUUAUUACUGAGGCUGUGUUCAUCAAAUUUUAGUUUCUUUUUUGACUCAAUUCGAAUUUGGAGUGAAAUAGAUUGUGAAUUGUGUGUGGAUUAUACGUGAAGAUGGCCAGUCAAGGCGGAUCUUCCAGGAAAAGUCUGACGUUGUCAAAUUCGGCUUCUAUGAUUGGGAGGAAGAAAUCAUUUGAGAAUGGUGGAGCCCCUGAUUCUGCACGAAAAUCUUUCAUCAUUUCUCGGCCCGGGUUCGUUUCUUUGCAUUUUCUUUAGUUACUUGAGUAAUUA
rnacentral:misc_RNA from 1 species